GAAGCGUGCCACGUCAUCACAAAAAAUUAAUCAAUAAGAAAAAUCCUCUCUGCCAUGUCAUUUAUGUUUAGCCAAUUCUUAAAAAAAAUCGGGUCUCAUAUAUGGCCCAAGUAAAAAAACACUUGAGAAAUCCUAAUCUUCUAAAACAUCGGUCUCCUAACUCAUUCCAUUCAAUCAUCUUCUAAGUUUCAUCUUCUUCCAUUUCCGUUACCCAUCCCCCUCUGUAAUUAAUCGUUUCCUUUCACCUCCCUCUCUUCAUUUUUUUAUAAACUCUUUCUUCUUAGCUUACUACAAAUCUAAGCUCGAAAACCUCCUCUCAGUAAACUUAAGCCAUGGCAAUGAAACCCAACUGAAAGUCACCUGUUUUAACCGGAAAUUCUCAUGUUGCUUUGUAUUCCACAUCCCACCACGUCCAUCUCGAUCCGAAUUACAAUUUCGACUCAUACAUUUCUAUGAGUAAAAAAAACACAGCAAAAGGAGGGACCUUUAUUGGACUGGAGAUGCUCAUUAUUGACGACACAGGACAAGUUGAUUCAGUGUUAUUGAUGACGUUCUUUACUCCAUCAACCAACUCCAAUCAAAGAUUCUUCAUUCAAUUAAUCUUCUACACGAAGCAGUGGAAAUCCAGCUAUAAAAAGAUUCUUCAUUCAAUUAAUCUUCUACACGAAGCAGUGGAAAUCCAGCUAUAAAAAGAUUCUUCAUUCAAUUAAUCUUUAACUCAAUGACGUUCUUUACUCCAUCAUCCUCCCAAAAACGUUUUCAGAAGAAAACUUGAGUUUAGAUUUUUUUUUCUUUAUUAAUUAAUUUAGAAAGCUUGAGUUUAGAUGAUUUUUAUUUCGUUUAUUGAUUUAGUAAGCUUGAGUUUAGAUCAUGUUAGAUGAUUUUGGUUUUGUUUAAUGAUUUUGUUUUCGUUUGUUGGUACGACGUGGUAGGGAGCAGAGUUAGAUGAUAUUCAGCAGAUGAGGAACACUCAUGAUUAUUUCAUUAAGUUUGUUGGAAGCAUGGCAUCGACUUUUUGGACACAAAGACGUAGCGUGCAGUUCAACUGAUACUCUCAAGUGGUGUGCAUAACCAUUCAUGGAGGCAUCAACUUUAGAGGAGACAUGAAUAAAAUUUUCUACGGCUACAGUCUCUAAGCGCUCAAAAGCCUUGGCAUCAUUAACUGGCGAUAUUCCUCUAGCUUAUGAUGAUCAAUUCGAGAAACCUGUGUGGUCUUGGAAAGGUAUUUUGGUUAAUAUACCAACAAAGAUGAGACAUGAUGGUUUGUGUUGUACUGGGGAGAGCGGACCACAGCUUAAGGAUGAAUUGAUCAGAAGAGGAUUCAACCUAUUAGAGUUCGUACCGUGUGGGACUGUUUCGGUCAUUCAGGAACCGGGAUAGUUGAGUUUAACAGAGACUGGAAUGGACUUAACGAUGCUUUGCUGUCCAAGAAGGCUUAUCAAGAAGAUGGUCAUGGUAAAAAAGAUUGGCUGAGUGGUGGUGGUGCUGCUGACUCUAGCCUUUACGCAUGGCUUGCCAAUACUGAUGAUUAUUAUAGGGCUGCUAACUAUAUAGGAGAGUACUUGGGGAAGAUGGGUGACCUCAAAAGUAUUUCUAGGUUUGCAGAAGAAGAGGCUAGGAAAGAUCAUAAGCUUGUGGUGCGUCUGAACGUAAUCUCUGAGAACAUACAGAGCCGGUUGAGGAUGCUAGAGGAAAAAUUCUCAAAGACUUCGAUUAAACUUAAAUGUGAGACUGAAGAAAAAUAUAAGAUUCUCCACGGUUACAAUCAAGGUGGGCUUAACCCUAUAGCUAUGUAGUAGAUAUGUGUAUUGCUUUUGCUUAUAUUCAUGUUACAUUUUUUAUUUUUGCAUCUGAAGAUCUCACGGGAAGACAACAAAGAUCGACUGCUCAUUUCAAUAUAAUCUUUGCUGAUC